rnacentral:pre_miRNA from 1 species
ACAUGGAUUCAGCUAUCUGUGGAGUAGUGCCUUCAAAACAAAUUCUUCACCGGGCUGCAAUCCUUGUCA